AGCAGCCGCGGUAAUUCCAGCUCCAAUAGCGUAUAUUAAAGUUGUUGCAGUUAAAAAGCUCGUAGUUGAAUUUCGGGGUCAGUAGAUUGGUCGUGCCACUGGUAUGUACUGGUCUUACUGGCUCCUCCUUCCUGAUGAACCGUAAUGCCAUUAAUUUGGUGUUGCGGGGAAACUGGACUGUUACUUUGAAAAAAUUAGAAUGUUUAAAGCAGGCUAACGCUUGAAUACAUUAGCAUGGAAUAAUGAAAUAGGACGUUCGAUCUUAUUUUGUUGGUUUCUAGGAUUGACGUAAUGAUUAAUAGGGAUAGUUGGGGGCAUUAGUAUUCAAUUGUCAGAGGUGAAAUUCUUGGAUUUAUUGAAGACUAACUACUGCGAAAGCAUUUGCCAAGGAUGUUUUCAUUAAUCAAGAACGAAAGUUAGGGGAUCGAAGACGAUCAGAUACCGUCGUAGUCUUAACCAUAAACUAUGCCGACUAGGGAUCGGAUGAUGUUAAUUUUUUAAUGACUCAUUCGGCGCCUUA
rnacentral:rRNA from 1 species